rnacentral:rRNA from 1 species
CAAUAGCGUAUAUUAAAGUUGUUGCGGUUAAAAGCUCGUAGUUGGAUUUCUGUUGAAGACGGUCGGUCCGCUCUAUGAGCGUGUAUCUGAUUCGGCUUUGGCAUCCUCGUGGGGAACGUAACUGUGCUUGAUUGCAUGGUGCGGUAUUCACGACUUUUACUUUGAGGAAAUUAGAGUGUUCACAGCAGGCAAGCGCCUUGAAUACAUUAGCAUGGAAUAAUAAUAUAGGGCUUUGGUUCUAUUUUGUUGGUUUCUAGGACUAAAGUAAUGAUUAAUAGGGAUAAUUGGGGGCAUUUGUAUUAACGCGUCAGAGGUGGAAUUCUUGGAUUGCGUUACGACAAACUACUGCGAAAGCAUUUGCCAAGGAUGUUUUCAUUGAUCAAGAACGAAAGUAUGGGGAUCGAAGACGAUUAGAUACCAU